rnacentral:rRNA from 1 species
UGUGCUAAUACCGGAUAAGUCUUUACGGAGAAAGCUUUAUGCACCAUUGGAUGAGCCCGCACUUGAUUAGUUUGUUGGUAGGGUAAUGGCCUACCAAGACUAUGAUCAAUAGCUGAUUUGAGAGGAUGAUCAGCCACAUUGGGACUGAGACACGGCCCAAACUCCUACGGGAGGCAGCAGUGGGGAAUCUUGCACAAUGGAGGAAACUCUGAUGCAGCGAUGCCGCGUGAGUGAAGAAGGCCUUUGGGUUGUAAAGCUCUUUCGUCGGGGAAGAAAAUGACUGUACCCGAAUAAGAAGGUCCGGCUAACUUCGUGCCAGCAGCCGCGGUAAUACGAAGGGACCUAGCGUAGUUCGGAAUUACUGGGCUUAAAGAGUUCGUAGGUGGUUGAAAAAGUUGGUGGUGAAAUCCCAGAGCUUAACUCUGGAACUGCCAUCAAAACUUUUCAGCUAGAGUAUGAUAGAGGAAAGCAGAAUUUCUAGUGUAGAGGUGAAAUUCGUAGAUAUUAGAAAGAAUACCAAUUGCGAAGGCAGCUUUCUGGAUCAUUACUGACACUGAGGAACGAAAGCAUGGGUAGCGAAGAGGAUUAGAUACCCUCGUAGUCCAUGCCGUAAACGAUGUGUGUUAGACGUUGGAAAUUUAUUUUCAGUGUCGCAGGGAAACCGAUAAACACACCGCCUGGGGAGUACGACCGCAAGGUUAAAACUCAAAUGAAUUGACGGGGACCCGCACAAGUAGUGGAGCAUGUGGUUUAAUUCGAAGAUACGCGCAGAACCUUACCAACACUUGACAUGUUCGUCGCGACUCUAAGAGAUUAGAGUUUUCGGUUCGGCCGGACGAAACACAGGUGCUGCAUGGCUGUCGUCAGCUCGUGUCGUGAGAUGUUGGGUUAAGUCCCGCAACGAGCGCAACCCUCACUUUUAGUUGCCAUCAUUAAGUUGGGCACUCUGAAAGAACUGCCAGUGAUAAGCUGG